AUACGUAGGUGACAAGCGUUAUCCGGAUUUACUGGGCGUAAAGGGCGUGUAGGCGGUCUUGCAAGUCUGGUGUGAAAUUGGUGGGCUCAACCCACCCAAGCAUUGGAAAAUGGAAAACUUGAGUCAUGGAGAGGAAAGUGGAAUUCCUAGUGUAGCGGUGAAAUGCGUAGAUAUUAGGAGGAAUACCGGUGGCGAAGGCGACUUUCUGGACAUGUACUGACGCUGAGGUACGAAAGUGUGGGGAGCAAACAGGAUUAGAUACCCUGGUAGUCCACACUGUAAACGAUGAAUGCUAGGUGUAGGAGGUAUCGACCCCUUCUGUGCCGCAGUAAACACAGUAAGCAUUCCGCCUGGGGAGUACGGUCGCAAGAUUAAAACUCAAAUGAAUUGACGGGG
rnacentral:rRNA from 1 species